GGUUCAUUUUCUGCCUGUCAAACUUUCAAGUUCAACUUGAUAGGCAUCAGUUCCUUCUCUAAGGAACUCCUUUCCAAAAGGAAUGCCCUACUGCUGAUGAGCAUCUUAUGUUCUUCAGUAUGAUAGAAUUAGUAACCCUUAAAUAACUAUUGGACCAUGAACCAAGUUUAUCUGUAUGCAAAUCUUUGACAUAGACCGAUCAACUCCAAACCCAAAGGUGAGAGAGUCUAGGUCUAUGCCUGAUCCAUAUCUCAUAUGGAAUCUGCACAACAAACUUACUCAGUAUAUUU
rnacentral:lncRNA from 1 species